rnacentral:rRNA from 1 species
CUUUUAUGGAGAGUUUGAUCCUGGCUCAGGACGAACGCUGGCGGCGUGCCUAAUACAUGCAAGUCGAGCGCGGGAAG